rnacentral:rRNA from 1 species
UGAUCCUGGCUCAGAUUGAACGCUGGCGGCAGGCCUAACACAUGCAAGUCGAACGGUAGCACAGAGGAGCUUGCUCCUUGGGUGACGAGUGGCGGACGGGUGAGUAAUGUCUGGGAAACUGCCCGAUGGAGGGGGAUAACUACUGGAAACGGUAGCUAAUACCGCAUAACGUCGCAAGACCAAAGAGGGGGACCUUCGGGCCUCUUGCCAUCGGAUGUGCCCAGAUGGGAUUAGCUAGUAGGUGGGGUAACGGCUCACCUAGGCGACGAUCCCUAGCUGGUCUGAGAGGAUGACCAGCCACACUGGAACUGAGACACGGUCCAGACUCCUACGGGAGGCAGCAGUGGGGAAUAUUGCACAAUGGGCGCAAGCCUGAUGCAGCCAUGCCGCGUGUAUGAAGAAGGCCUUCGGGUUGUAAAGUACUUUCAGCGAGGAGGAAGGCGUUGUGGUUAAUAACCGCAACGAUUGACGUUACUCGCAGAAGAAGCACCGGCUAACUCCGUGCCAGCCGCCGCGGUAAAAGGG